rnacentral:rRNA from 1 species
ACGCACGCUGGCGGCGUGCUUCACACCUGCAAGUCGAACGGUGAAGCGCCUUCCUUUUUGGUGGGUGUGGAUGAGUGGCGAACGGGUGAGUAACACGUGAGUAACCUGCCCCCUUCUUCUGGAUAACCGCAUGAAAGUGUGGCUAAUACGGGAUAUUCUGGGUCUGUCGCAUGAUGGGUCUGGGAAAGAUAUUGUUUCGGUGGGGGAUGGGCUCGCGGCCUAUCAGCUUGUUGGUGGGGUGAUGGCCUACCAAGGCGGUGACGGGUAGCCGGCCUGAGAGGGUGGACGGUCACACUGGGACUGAGACACGGCCCAGACUCCUACGGGAGGCAGCAGUGGGGAAUAUUGCACAAUGGGCGCAAGCCUGAUGCAGCGACGCCGCGUGAGGGAUGGAGGCCUUCGGGUUGUGAACCUCUUUCGCCAGUGAAGCAGGCCUGCCUCGUUUGUGGGUGGGUUGACGGUAGCCGGAUAAGAAGCGCCGGCUAACUACGUG